ACUCUUUUAGCCUGAACACUCUGGAGAGGAGACACAACAGAGGGCUGGCCUCCAAUCAACACCAGCUGCAACCUUCACAAAACAGAUUGUUAAUAUUUUCCAAUAAACAUUCAAAACUU